UGGAAUGUAGCUCAGUUGGAAGAGCGGAGAGCACAUAGCUCUUGACGCCGCAGGUUCGAAUCCUGCCUUUCCGU
rnacentral:tRNA from 1 species